AGAUUGAACGCUGGCGGCAGGCCUAACACAUGCAAGUCGAGCGGUAGAGAGGUGCUUGCAUCUCUUGAGAGCGGCGGACGGGUGAGUAAUGCCUAGGAAUCUGCCUAGUGGGUGGGGGAUAACGUUCGGAAACGGACGCUAAUACCGCAUACGUCCUACGGGAGAAAGCGGGGGACCUUCGGGCCUCGCGCCAUUAGAUGAGCCUAGGUCGAUUAGCUAGUGGUGAGGUAUGGCUCACCAAGGCGACGAUCCGUAAUGGUCUGAGAGGAUGAUCAGUCACACGUGGAACUGAGACACGGUCCAGACCGUCCGGUACGGGGGCAGGCGUAGGUAGGGAAUAGUUAGGAAC
rnacentral:rRNA from 1 species